rnacentral:ribozyme from 12 species
GGAGGCCGGCUUCAAGACGGCGUGUGUGACGAAACUCUUCCCGACGCGCAGCCACACGGUCGCGGCGCAAGGCGGCAUCAACGCCGCCCUCGGCAACAUGACCGAAGACGACUGGCGCUGGCACAUGUACGACACGGUCAAG